rnacentral:rRNA from 1 species
GACGAACGCUGGCGGCGUGCUUAACACAUGCAAGUCGAACGGAGAGGCCCUGCUUUUGUGGGGUGCUCGAGUGGCGAACGGGUGAGUAACACGUGAGUAAACUGCCCUUGACUUUGGGAUAACUUAAGGAAACUGGGGCUAAUACAGGAUAGGAGAUUCUGCUGCAUGGUGGGGGUUGGAAAGUUUAGGAGGUUGGGGCUGGGGUGGCGGCUUUUCAGCUUGUUGGUGGGGUAGUGGCUUACCAAGGCUUUGACGGGUGGCCGGCCUGAGAGGGUGACCGGCCACAUUGGGACUGAGAUACGGCCCAGACUCCUACGGGAGGCAGCAGUGGGGAAUAUUGCACAAUGGGCGGAAGCCGGAUGCAGCAACGCCGCGUGCGGUAUGACGGCCUUCGGGUUGUAAACCGCUUUCGCCUGGGACGAAGCGGGAUUGACGGUAAUGGGUAAAGAAGCACCGGCUAACUACGUG